AUUGAACGCUGGCGGCAGGCUUAACACAUGCAAGUCGAGCGGGGGAAGGUAGCUUGCUACCGGACCUAGCGGCGGACGGGUGAGUAAUGCUUAGGAAUCUGCCUAUUAGUGGGGGACAACAUCUCGAAAGGGAUGCUAAUACCGCAUACGUCCUACGGGAGAAAGCAGGGGAUCUUCGGACCUUGCGCUAAUAGAUGAGCCUAAGUCGGAUUAGCUAGUUGGUGGGGUAAGGGCCUACCAAGGCGACGAUCUGUAGCGGGUCUGAGAGGAUGAUCCGCCACACUGGGACUGAGACACGGCCCAGACUCCUACGGGAGGCAGCAGUGGGGAAUAUUGGACAAUGGGGGGAACCCGGAUCCAGCCAUGCCGCGUGUGUGAAGAAGGCCUUAGGGUUGUAAAGCACUUUAAGCGAGGAGGAGGCUACUCUAGUUAAUACCUAGGGAUAGUGGACGUUACUCGCAGAAUAAGCACCGGCUAACUCUGUGCCAGCCGCCGCCGUAA
rnacentral:rRNA from 1 species